GACGAACGCUGGCGGCGUGCCUAAUACAUGCAAGUAGAACGCUGAAGGAGGAGCUUGCUUCUCUGGAUGAGUUGCGAACGGGUGAGUAACGCGUAGGUAGCCUGCCUGGUAGCGGGGGAUAACUAUUGGAAACGAUAGCUAAUACCGCAUAAUAUUGACUAUUGCAUGAUAGUCAGUUGAAAGGUGCAACUGCACCACUACCAGAUGGACCUGCGUUGUAUUAGCUAGUUGGUGGGGUAACGGCUCACCAAGGCGACGAUACAUAGCCGACCUGAGAGGGGGAUCGGCCACACUGGGACUGAGACACGGCCCAGACUCCUACGGGAGGCAGCAGUAGGGAAUCUUCGGCAAUGGACGGAAGUCUGACCGAGCAACGCCGCGUGAGUGAAGAAGGUUUUCGGAUCGUAAAGCUCUGUUGUAAGAGAAGAACGAGUGUGAGAGUGGAAAGCUCACACUGUGACGGUAUCUUACCAGAAAGGGACGGCUAACUACGUG
rnacentral:rRNA from 1 species